GACGAACGCUGGCGGCGUGCCUAAUACAUGCAAGUCGAGCGGACGAAUCGAAAGCUUGCUUUUGAUUCGUUAGCGGCGGACGGGUGAGUAACACGUGGGCAACCUGCCCUGUAGACGGGGAUAACACCGAGAAAUCGGUGCUAAUACCGGAUAACACGAAAUGUCGCAUGACGUUUCGUUGAAAGACGGCGCAAGCUGUCGCUACAGGAUGGGCCCGCGGCGCAUUAGCUAGUUGGUGAGGUAACGGCUCACCAAGGCGACGAUGCGGAGCCGACCUGAGAGGGUGAUCGGCCACACUGGGACUGAGACACGGCCCAGACCCCUGCGGGAGGCAGCGGAAGGGAAUCUUCCGCAAAGGACGAAAGUCUGACGGAGCAACGCCGCGUGAGCGAAGAAGGCCUUCGGGUCGUAAAGCUCUGUUGUUAGGGAAGAACAAGUAACGCAGUAACUGGCGUUACCGUGACGGUACCUAACGAGAAAGCCACGGCUAACUACGUG
rnacentral:rRNA from 1 species